GAUGAACGCUGGCGGCGUGCCUAAUACAUGCAAGUCGAGCGAACAGACGAGGAGCUUGCUCCUCUGAGGUUAGCGGCGGACGGGUGAGUAACACGUGGAUAACCUACCUAUAAGACUGGGAUAACUUCGGGAAACCGGAGCUAAUACCGGAUAAUAUAUUGAACCGCAUGGUUCAAUAGUGAAAGACGGUUUUGCUGUCACUUAUAGAUGGAUCCGCGCCGCAUUAGCUAGUUGGUAAGGUAACGGCUUACCAAGGCGACGAUGCGUAGCCGACCUGAGAGGGUGAUCGGCCACACUGGAACUGAGACACGGUCCAGACUCCUACGGGAGGCAGCAGUAGGGAAUCUUCCGCAAUGGGCGAAAGCCUGACGGAGCAACGCCGCGUGAGUGAUGAAGGUCUUCGGAUCGUAAAACUCUGUUAUUGGGGAAGAACAAAUGUGUAAGUAACUAUGCACGUCUUGACGGUACCUAAUCAGAAAGCCACGGCUAACUACGUG
rnacentral:rRNA from 1 species